ACUGGGUUAGCUCAGAUAGCAGAGCAUAAGACUCUUAAUCUCAGGGUUGUGGGUUGGAGCCCCACAUUGGGCA